UACGAAGGGGGCAAGCAUUGUUCGGAUUUACUGGGCGUAAAGCGUCCGCAGGUGGCUUCGCAAGUCAGAAGUGAAAGCCCAGGGCUCAACCCUGGAAUUGCUUUUGAAACUGCAAAGCUAGAGUAUUGGAGAGGUUGGCAGAAUUCUCAGUGUAGAGGUGAAAUUCGCAGAUAUUGAGAGGAAUACCGAUGGCGCAGGCAGCCAACUGGACAAUAACUGACACUCAUGGACGAAAGCGUGGGGAUCAAACAGG
rnacentral:rRNA from 1 species